rnacentral:rRNA from 1 species
CAGUCGCCACGGGAAUACGGAGGGUGCAAGCGUUAAUCGGAAUUACUGGGCGUAAAGCGCACGCAGGCGGUCUGUCAAGUCAGAUGUGAAAUCCCCGGGCUUAACCUGGGAACUGCAUUUGAAACUGGCAAGCUAGAGUCUUGUAGAGGGGGGUAGAAUUCCAGGUGUAGCGGUGAAAUGCGUAGAGAUCUGGAGGAAUACCGGUGGCGAAGGCGGCCCCCUGGACAAAGACUGACGCUCAGGUGCGAAAGCGUGGGGAGCAAACAGGAUUAGAUACCCGAGUAGUCCCUGUCUCUUAUAC